AUUGAACGCUGGCGGCAGGCUUAACACAUGCAAGUCGAGCGGGUGAAGGUAGCUUGCUACCGGACCUAGCGGCGGACGGGUGAGUAAUGCUUAGGAAUCUGCCUAUUAGUGGGGGACAACCUCUCGAAAGGGAUGCUAAUACCGCAUACGUCCUACGGGAGAAAGCAGGGGAUCUUCGGACCUUGCGCUAAUAGAUGAGCCUAAGUCGGAUUAGCUAGUUGGUGGGGUAAAGGCCUACCAAGGCGACGAUCUGUAGCGGGUCUGAGAGGAUGAUCCGCCAAACUGGGACUGAGACACGGCCCAGACUCCUACGGGAGGCAGCAGUGGGGAAUAUUGGACAAUGGGGGGAACCCUGAUCCAGCCAUGCAGCGUGUGUGAAGAAGGCCUUAUGGUUGUAAAGCACUUUAAGCGAGGAGGAGGCUACUUUAGUUAAUACCUAGAGAUAGUGGACGUUACUCGCAGAAUAAGCACCGGCUAACUCUGUGCCAGCCGCCGCAGUAA
rnacentral:rRNA from 1 species